UACGUAGGGUGCGAGCGUUAAUCGGAAUUACUGGGCGUAAAGUGUGCGCAGGCGGCCGAGCAAGUCGAGUGUGAAAGCCCCGAGCUUAACUUGGGAACUGCGCUCGAAACUACUUGGCUAGAGUGUGGCAGAGGGAGGUGGAAUUCCACGUGUAGCGGUGAAAUGCGUAGAUAUCAGGAGGAACACCGGUGGUGUAAACGGCUCUCUGGACCGUAACUGACGCUGAGGCACGAAAGCGUGGGUAGCAAACAGG
rnacentral:rRNA from 1 species